rnacentral:rRNA from 1 species
AUCUAGCGUGUGCNCGAGUCAUUGGGUGUNAAACCUAAAGGCGCAAUGAAAGUGUCAGGGGUGACUCCUUCAGGAGCGCAUCCCGUUGGGAGGAUGGGCGACCCGUACGAUCACUCGUCGGAGCCCCGCACUCCCGGGGCGUCUCNUUCUCAUCACGAGUGGAGACGCNCCAGGAGCGCACACGCUGGUACCCGAAAGAUGGUGAACUAUGCCUGGCCAGGACGAAGCCAGGGGAAACCCUGGUGGAGGUCCGAAGCGAUUCUGACGUGCAAAUCGAUCGUCUGAGCUGGGUAUAGGGGCGAAAGACCAAUCGAACCAUCUAGUAGCUGGUUCCCUCUGAAGUUUCCCUCAGGAUAGCUGGCUCU